ACCCUCGUAUUAUUGUGUUCUGGGUUGAGGCCGAGCUUAGCCUUGUUCAUUUUUUUACACAACCACUCCGUAAAAAAUAAACCACGCUCAGCCUGCGAUAGCCCUUUGGGGCCAAAAUAGCGGAUAAUGAGUUGCCCCCAGAUGCAGCAUUUCUGCCGUUGCUGUGCCAUUUCGGGGCAU
rnacentral:sRNA from 1 species